rnacentral:rRNA from 1 species
UAUUUUGUAGCGAGGUUAACCGAAUAGGGGAGCCGAAGGGAAACCGAGUCUUAACUGGGCGUCUAGUUGCAAGGUAUAGACCCGAAACCCGGUGAUCUAGCCAUGGGCAGGUUGAAGGUUGGGUAACACUAACUGGAGGACCGAACCGACUAAUGUUGAAAAAUUAGCGGAUGACUUGUGGCUGGGGGUGAAAGGCCAAUCAAACCGGGAGAUAGCUGGUUCUCCCCGAAAUCUAUUUAGGUAGAGCCUUGAGCGGACACCUUCGGGGGUAGAGCACUGUUUCGGCUAGGGGUCCAUCCCGGAUUACCAACCCGAUGCAAACUACGAAUACCGAAGAGUGAUACUCAGGAGACACACGGCGGGUGCUAACGUCCGUCGUGGAGAGGGAAACAACCCAGACCGCCAGCUAAGGUCCCAAAGUCUAUAUUAAGUGGGAAACGAAGUGGGAAGGCUUAGACAGCUAGGAUGUUGGCUUAGAAGCAGCCAUCAUUUAAAGAAAGCGUAAUAGCUCACUAGUCGAGUCGGCCUGCGCGGAAGAUGUAACGGGGCUCAAAUAUAGCACCGAAGCUGCGGCAUCAGUAGCAAUACUGUUGGGUAGGGGAGCGUUCUGUAAGCGGAUGAAGGUUAAUCGAGAGGUUAGCUGGACGUAUCAGAAGUGCGAAUGCUGACAUAAGUAACGAUAAAACGGGUGAAAAACCCGUUCGCCGGAAGACCAAGGGUUCCUGUCCAACGUUAAUCGGGGCAGGGUGAGUCGGCCCCUAAGGCGAGGCUGAAAAGCGUAGUCGAUGGGAAACGGGUUAAUAUUCCCGUACUUGGAUAAACUGCGAUGUGGGGACGGAGCAGGUUAGGUUAUCGCACUGUUGGAUAUGUGCGUUUAAGUUUGUAGGUGUGAAGUUUAGGCAAAUCCGGACUUCUUUAACACUGAGAGAUGAUGACGAGGCUCUACGGAGCUGAAGUAACCGAUACCACACUUCCAGGAAAAGCCACUAAGCUUCAGGUUUAUCUAAACCGUACUGAAAACCGACACAGGUGGUCAGGUAGAGAAUACUCAGGCGCUUGAGAGAACUCGGGUGAAGGAACUAGGCAAAAUAGCACCGUAACUUCGGGAGAAGGUGCGCCGGCGUAGAUUGUAAGGGCUUGCCCCUGAAGGUUGAACCGGUCGAAGAUACCAGCUGGCUGCAACUGUUUAUUAAAAACACAGCACUCUGCAAACACGAAAGUGGACGUAUAGGGUGUGAUGCCUGCCCGGUGCUGGAAGGUUAAUUGAUGGUGUAAUCGAAAGAGAAGCUCCUGAUCGAAGCCCCAGUAAACGGCGGCCGUAACUAUAACGGUCCUAAGGUAGCGAAAUUCCUUGUCGGGUAAGUUCCGACCUGCACGAAUGGCAUAAUGAUGGCCAGGCUGUCUCCACCCGAGACUCAGUGAAAUUGAAAUCGCCGUGAAGAUGCGGUGUACCCGCGGCUAGACGGAAAGACCCCGUGAACCUUUACUAUAGCUUGACACUGAACAUUGAAUUUUGAUGUGUAGGAUAGGUGGGAGACUUAGAAGUAGUCACGCCAGUGAUUAUGGAGUCGUCCUUGAAAUACCACCCUUUAACGUUUGAUGUUCUAACGAAGAUUACGAAACGUGGUCUCGGACAGUGUCUGGUGGGUAGUUUGACUGGGGCGGUCUCCUCCCAAAGAGUAACGGAGGAGCACGAAGGUUUGCUAAUGACGGUCGGACAUCGUCAGGUUAGUGCAAUGGUAUAAGCAAGCUUAACUGCGAGACAGACAAGUCGAGCAGGUACGAAAGUAGGUCAUAGUGAUCCGGUGGUUCUGAAUGGAAGGGCCAUCGCUCAACGGAUAAAAGGUACUCCGGGGAUAACAGGCUGAUACCGCCCAAGAGUUCAUAUCGACGGCGGUGUUUGGCACCUCGAUGUCGGCUCAUCACAUCCUGGGGCUGAAGUAGGUCCCAAGGGUAUGGCUGUUCGCCAUUUAAAGUGGUACGCGAGCUGGGUUUAGAACGUCGUGAGACAGUUCGGUCCCUAUCUGCCGUGGGCGUUGGAGAAUUGAAAGGGGCUGCUCCUAGUACGAGAGGACCGGAGUGGACGCACCACUGGUGUUCCGGUUGUGUCGCCAGACGCAUUGCCGGGUAGCUAAGUGCGGAAGAGAUAAGUGCUGAAAGCAUCUAAGCACGAAACUUGCCUUGAGAUGAGUUCUCCCUGUCUUUAAGACAGUAAGGGUUGUUUAAGACUAAGACGUAGAUAGGUCUGGUGUGUAAGCGGUGUGAGCCGUUGAGCUAACAGAUACUAAUUGCCCGAGAGGCUUAACUAU